rnacentral:tRNA from 1 species
UGGGGCGUCGUCAAGUGGUAAGACAGCUGGUUUUGGUCCAACUAUUCGGAGGUUCGAAUCCUUCCGCCCCAG